GCUUACGGCCAUACCACCCUGAAUGCGCCCGAUCUCGUCUGAUCUCGGAAGCUAAGCAGGGCAGGCCUGGUUAGUCUAAGCAGAGUCAGGCCUGGUUAGUGCUUGGAUGGUAGACCACCUGGGAAUACCAGGUGCUGUAAGCU
rnacentral:rRNA from 1 species